rnacentral:rRNA from 1 species
AGAGUUUGAUCCUGGCUCAGAAUGAACGCUGGCGGCGUGCCUAAGACAUGCAAGUCGCACGUGAAAGUCCGCAAGGAUGAGUAAAGUGGCGCACGGGUGAGUAAUAUUUAGGUAACUUACCCUCUCGCUGUGGAUAACCAGACGAAAGUUUGGCUAAUACAGAAUAGUCAAAUUGAGACCCCGGUCUUGAUUUGUAAAGCCGUAAGGCGCGAGAGGCUAGGCCUAAAUCCCAUUAGCUAGUUGGUAGGGUAACGGCCUACCAAGGCUACGAUGGGUAGCUGUUCUGAGAGGAAGACCAGCCACACUGGAACUGGAACACGGUCCAGACUCCUACGGGAGGCAGCAGUUAGGAAUUUUGCGCAAUGGGGGAAACCCUGACGCAGCAACGCCGCGUGGAGGAUGAAGGCUUCGGGUUGUAAACUCCUUUUAG